rnacentral:rRNA from 1 species
CGGACGGGUGAGUAACGCGUGAGAAUCUGGCUUCAGGUCUGGGACAACCACUGGAAACGGUGGCUAAUACCGGAUGUGCCCUUCGGGGUGAAAGAUUAAUUGCCUGAAGAUGAGCUCGCGUCUGAUUAGCUAGUUGGAAGUGUAAUGGACUCCCAAGGCGACGAUCAGUAGCUGGUCUGAGAGGACGAUCAGCCACACUGGGACUGAGACGCGGCCCAGACUCCUACGGGAGGCAGCAGUGGGGAAUUUUCCGCAAUGGGCGAAAGCCUGACGGAGCAAUACCGCGUGAGGGAGGAAGGCUCUUGGGUCGUAAACCUCUUUUCUCAGGGAAGAACACAAUGACGGUACCUGAGGAAUAAGCAUCGGCUAACUCCGUGCCAGCAGCCGCGGUAAUACGGAGGAUGCAAGCGUUAUCCGGAAUGAUUGGGCGUAAAGCGUCCGCAGGUGGCAAUGUAAGUCUGCUGUUAAAGAGUCUAGCUCAACUAGAUAAAAGCAGUGGAAACUACAUAGCUAGAGUACGUUCGGGGCAGAGGGAAUUCCUGGUGUAGCGGUGAAAUGCGUAGAGAUCAGGAAGAACACCAGUGGCGAAGGCGCUCUGCUAGGCCGUAACUGACACUGAGGGACGAAAGCUAGGGGAGCGAAUGGGAUUAGAUACCCCAGUAGUC